GAUAAACGCUGGCGGCGUGCCUAAUACAUGCAAGUCGAGCGAACGGACGAGAAGCUUGCUUCUCUGAUGUUAGCGGCGGACGGGUGAGUAACACGUGGAUAACCUACCUAUAAGACUGGGAUAACUUCGGGAAACCGGAGCUAAUACCGGAUAAUAUUUUGAACCGCAUGGUUCAAAAGUGAAAGACGGUCUUGCUGUCACUUAUAGAUGGAUCCGCGCUGCAUUAGCUAGUUGGUAAGGUAACGGCUUACCAAGGCAACGAUGCAUAGCCGACCUGAGAGGGUGAUCGGCCACACUGGAACUGAGACACGGUCCAGACUCCUACGGGAGGCAGCAGUAGGGAAUCUUCCGCAAUGGGCGAAAGCCUGACGGAGCAACGCCGCGUGAGUGAUGAAGGUCUUCGGAUCGUAAAACUCUGUUAUUAGGGAAGAACAUAUGUGUAAGUAACUGUGCACAUCUUGACNGUACCUAAUCAGAAAGCCACGGCUAACUACGUGCCAGCAGCCGCGGGUAUACGUAGGUGGCAAGCGUUAUCCGGAAUUAUUGGGCGUAAAGCGCGCGUAGGCGGUUUUUUAAGUCUGAUGUGAAAGCCUACGGCUCACCCGUGGAGGGUCAUUGGAAACUGGAAAACUUGAGUGCAGAAGAGGAAAGUGGAAUUCCAUGUGUAGCGGUGAAAUGCGCAGAGAUAUGGAGGAACACCAGUGGCGAAGGCGACUUUCUGGUCUGUAACUGACGCUGAUGUGCGAAAGCGUGGGGAUCAAACAGGAUUAGAUACCCUGGUAGUCCACGCCGUAAACGAUGAGUGCUAAGUGUUAGGGGGUUUCCGCCCCUUAGUGCUGCAGCUAACGCAUUAAGCACUCCGCCUGGGGAGUACGACCGCAAGGUUGAAACUCAAAGGAAUUGACGGGGACCCGCACAAGCGGUGGAGCAUGUGGUUUAAUUCGAAGCAACGCGAAGAACCUUACCAAAUCUUGACAUCCUUUGACAACUCUAGAGAUAGAGCCUUCCCCUUCGGGGGACAAAGUGACAGGUGGUGCAUGGUUGUCGUCAGCUCGUGUCGUGAGAUGUUGGGUUAAGUCCCGCAACGAGCGCAACCCUUAAGCUUAGUUGCCAUCAUUAAGUUGGGCACUCUAAGUUGACUGCCGGUGACAAACCGGAGGAAGGUGGGGAUGACGUCAAAUCAUCAUGCCCCUUAUGAUUUGGGCUACACACGUGCUACAAUGGACAAUACAAAGGGCAGCGAAACCGCGAGGUCAAGCAAAUCCCAUAAAGUUGUUCUCAGUUCGGAUUGUAGUCUGCAACUCGACUACAUGAAGCUGGAAUCGCUAGUAAUCGUAGAUCAGCAUGCUACGGUGAAUACGUUCCCGGGUCU
rnacentral:rRNA from 1 species